rnacentral:rRNA from 1 species
UAAUACGGAGGGUGCAAGCGUUGUUCGGAAUUAUUGGGCGUAAAGCGCGUGUAGGCGGUCGGGUAAGUCAGAUGUGAAAGCCUUCUGCUUAACAGAAGAAGUGCAUUUGAAACUGCUCGGCUGGAGUACGGGAGAGGAGAGUGGAAUUCCCGGUGUAGAGGUGAAAUUCGUAGAUAUCGGGAGGAACACCAGUGGCGAAGGCGGCUCUCUGGUCCGAUACUGACGCUGAGACGCGAAAGCGUGGGGAGCAAACAGGAUUAGAUACCCUGGUAGUCCACGCCGUAAACGAUGGGCACUAGGUGUAGGAGGUAUUGACCCCUUCUGUGCCGAAGCUAACGCAUUAAGUGCCCCGCCUGGGGAGUACGGCCGCAAGGCUAAA